CCUACGGGUGGCAGCAGUCGAGAAUCAUUCACAAUGGGGGAAACCCUGAUGGUGCGACGCCGCGUGGGGGAAUGAAGGCCUUCGGAUUGUAAACCCCUGUCAUGUGGGAGCAAAUUAAAAAGAUAGUACCACAACAGACAGAGACUGCUAACUCUGUGCCCGCAGCCGCGGUAAUAAAGAGGUCUCAAGCGUUGUUCGGAAUCACUGGGCGUAAAGCGAGCGUUGGCAGUUUUGUAAGUCGUGGGGGAAAGGCGCGGGCUCAACCCGCGGACGGCAUAUGAUACUGCGAGACUAGAGUAAUGGAGGGGGAACCGGAAUGCUAGGUGUAGCAGUGAAAUGCGUAGAUAUCGAGAGGAACACUCGUGGCGAAGGCGGGUUACUGGACAUUAACUGACGCUGAGGCACGAAGGCCAGGGGAGCGAAAGGGAUUAGAUACCCCAGUAGUC
rnacentral:rRNA from 1 species